rnacentral:tRNA from 2 species
GCGCCCUUCGUCUAGCGGUCCAGGACACCGCCCUUUCACGGCGGUAACACGGGUUCGAGUCCCGUAGGGCGCGCCA